rnacentral:rRNA from 1 species
GACGAACGCUGGCGGCGUGCUUAACACAUGCAAGUCGAACGGAAAGGCCCUGCUUUUGUGGGGUGCUCGAGUGGCGAACGGGUGAGUAACACGUGAGUAACCUGCCCUUGACUUUGGGAUAACUCCAGGAAACUGGGGCUAAUACCGGAUAGGAGCUCCUGCUGCAUGGUGGGGGUUGGAAAGUUUCGGCGGUUGGGGAUGGACUUGCGGCUUAUCAGCUUGUUGGUGGGGUAGUGGCUUACCAAGGCUUUGACGGGUAGCCGGCCUGAGAGGGUGACCGGCCACAUUGGGACUGAGAUACGGCCCAGACUCCUACGGGAGGCAGCAGUGGGGAAUAUUGCACAAUGGGCGGAAGCCUGAUGCAGCAACGCCGCGUGCGGGAUGACGGCCUUCGGGUUGUAAACCGCUUUCGCCUGUGACGAAGCGUGAGUGACGGUAAUGGGUAAAGAAGCACCGGCUAACUACGUG